UACGGGGGGGGCAAGCGUUGUUCGGAAUUACUGGGCGUAAAGGGCUCGUAGGUGGCCAACUAAGUCAGACGUGAAAUCCCUCGGCUUAACCGGGGAACUGCGUCUGAUACUGGAUGGCUUGAAUUCGGGAGAGGGAUGCAGAAUUCCAGGUGUAGCGGUGAAAUGCGUAGAUAUCUGGAGGAAUACCGGUGGCGAAGGCGGCAUCCUGGACCGGCAUUGACGCUGAACAGCGAAAGCUAGGGGAGCAAACGGG
rnacentral:rRNA from 1 species